CCACGUGGCAGGUCCGAGCACAGCCCUUGCUUGAUUUUACUUGCACUUCUGCUCCUCUUCCCUCCCCACGAAGAGAGGAUGCUGGUCCCAGAGGGAGAAUGAGAGAGCUGAGCCUCUGAGCCGCUCCAUCACCCAACCUGCAGUGGCAAAACCCGUCCAGGUGACGCCUCCAGAGACUCCCAGCAGCACCUGGGGUGAGGGGUGCCCUCUACACCUGUCACAACUGCAGCGUGAAUAAGCCCGGGCUAGCGACUUUAAGACCAGAGUACCUGGGAUUAACUAAAGCAACCCUCAUGAAAUGGACCAGUGGCUUAAACAUCUCCCUGCAGAGAAGCGACAGAUGGAAGAUAAUUCCACUGAUACAGGUGAGCAGUAAGAAAACGGCUGAGUAAUACGAGAGGACAUAUGCAUAAAUUACAAGCUUCUUCCGCUCAACAUAACGUCUGUGAGAUCAUCCACGUUGUGUGUAUCCGUGGCCCCGUUUCACAGAGGAAGAAACAAAGGCUCAGACAGACUAAGGGAAGUGGCGUCGGAGGAAAGCCCCAGCUCUCCGAGGACGUCCCAUUCUCUGUUUGAGCACCGUCGUCCCCUGAUGGUCCAUGCUGAUCGCCAGCCCAGGCAUUCCUUCCUGUGCUGGGACUUCCUUCCACGCACAGUCGAUUGGGGAUCAUUCCAUCAGCAAAGGCUCUGACCUGCUAAAUCUCAUCCAUCAGACUGGCCAUACGCCUUCCAACUGAGCUGGUAAUGUGAUCACGUGACCACGCCGUGGCGAGUCGGUUCCCGUGGCCCGUUCAUCAUCGCUUCACAGGCGCUUUCUGUGGACUCCGGUCAAAUCCUCUGUGUCAGCACCGUGUGUACCCUGUUGCACCCCACAGGUGACCCGGUAGAGGUUCCUGGCUGCAUCUGUGCACUCAGAUGCAUGUCCAGUUGCACACGUGCCUCUCUGGCAGAAAAUCUUUGAGGUGGAACCCAACGGGCUGGGUUUGAAUCCUGACUCUACUACUUAUAGGCUGUACAACUUUGCCCUAGUUACCCUCUCUGUGCCUCAGUUUCCCAUCUGUAAAAUGGGGAUGAAGACAGAAUCCACUUCUUGGAGUGUAUUCGUUUCCGGGGCUGCCACAACAAAGUACCAUAGACUUAGUGGCUUAAAAAACCGAAAUCUAAUCGCUCACAGUUCUGGAGGCCAGAAGUCUGAAAUCAGGGCAUCGGCAAGGUUGGUGACUUCUGGGGUCGCUGGUGGAGAAUCUAUUCCAUGCCCCUCUCUGAGCUUCUGGUGGUUGCCGGCCGUCCUGGAUGUUGCUUGGCUUGUAGACGCAUCACUCCAAUUUCUGCCUCUGUCAACACAUAACUGUCUUCCCUCUGUGUGUCUCUGUGUCCAAAGUUCCCUCUUCUUAUAAGGACACCAGUCAUUGGCUAAGGGCCCACCCUCAUUGGUAUGACCUCAUCUGAUCUUGGUUACAUCUGCAAACCCCCUAUUUCCAAAUGAGGUCACAUUCACGGGUUCCAGGUGGAUGUGAAUUUUGGGGAGACACUAAUCACCCCAAGACAUGGGUUAAUGUGAGUUAAUAUCUGUGCCAUGCUGAGAACAGCCCCGGGCACCUGCGUAAGUCAUGUUCCACAAUAGCAUUUGUUAUCAUCACUGGCACAUGGGAGGAAUAUAAAUCCCACUCUCUUUUAAGUGGCUGUCGGGGAGGGAGUUCCCCGGCGGCCCAGUGGUUAAGACUCAGCGCUUUCACUGCCGGGGCCCGGGUUCAAUCCCUCAUCGGGGAAUGAAGAUCCCGCAAGAUGUGCGACUUGGCCAAAACAAAGAAAGAAACAAACAAACAAAAAACGGCUUUGGGGGGGUUCUGUUCCAUGUGGCCAAAUAAAACCCUGACAGGGACGUGACCCUCACCAUGCCUGAGGCUGGCCGGGUCCUGGCUCUUCCCGAGGACCCGCCUCUGUCUCCAGGCCCCUCCCCCUCCCCCUCCCCCUUGGCAUUCAGCUGCAUCAUGCAGCUGGGGAGGGUGCUAGCAAGCAAUAAAACAGAGGAAGCUUGCUCCAAUUCUGGCUUUCCAACAAGGAGAGCUUAAUGAGGCAAUUAAGCAGAACUAUUUUCUCUUUAUCUCCCUCUCCAUCUUCCCCAGCGAUGUCAGUGCUCAGAGCUGGAGGGCCCUUGAAGAUGAGAAGAGCCUGUCCCCCUCGGUUGCAGGAACAGGUGAGCAGGACUCAGAGAGGGGCAGCGGCUGGGCCAAGGUCACACAGCGAGUCGGUGGGAUCACCGGCUUGGCAAACCCUGGCAGGGGAGGGGUCGGAAUGGGCCACGUGGGGACAGUGGCAGGCUGGGAUACGCAGGGCCUGGCCAGAGAGCGACGUCACUGUGAAGUGGCACUGCCCAGGUGGACCACAUGGACUCCGUGUAUGAGGUCAGCUGAGUUUUCAAGAGAAGCUAAAAUCCACCUUUAUAAAGGAUGCCAUCUAGUAAUUCAAAGUUCUAGAAAACCCAGUGUAGGCCACACAGAGUGGUCCUCGCUGAGAACAGUGUCUUCGCUCAGCUACUAGGGUGCCCGUGGUGGGCACAGCCCAGAGGGCGGGUGGGGAGGAGCGUUUGGUCCUGUGUGUGCAGUGUGCCUGGGCUUCUCCUGGUCCCCCGCGUAGUGAGAUGGGAGCUUCCUGGCCCGCCUGCGUUAGUGUUCCCUCCGAAAUCCCCGUCCAGCCAAGCGGUCUUCAGCAGCCUGCCAUGCACGGUGUGUAUGUUGUGCACUGCACAAAGGCGCCCGCUGGAGAGGUGACUGGGGUGCUCUCGGGCUGCGCCCGGCUUGCUUGCUCAGCUGCUUAUCCUGGAAGAAGCAUCUGAUUGUUGGAACGCAUCCACCCAGGGAGUUCUCUUUUUCUAAUUCUCACAGUGCUGGGUCAGUUUGGGUCCUUCAAGAAGAUGCCGAGAUGAGGGACUUCCCUGGCGGUCCAGUGGUUAGGACUCUGGGCUUUCACUGGCGCGAGCACAGGUUCCAUCCCUGGUCGGGGAGCUAAGAUCCCGCAAGCCGCGCGGCAUGGCAAAAAAGCCCAACAAAUUAAAAAGAAGAUGCCAAGGUGAGAUUCGAUGUGCAAGUGGGUCAUUAGGGGAAACAGCUCUAGGAGAAAAGGAGGAGGCGGGAGAGCCUUCAGGCUGAGAUGCAACUCUGGCCUCCGUGCGGAGUGAGACAGGAGGGGCUCAGGCCUCAGCACAGUUCUAAGGAAGUUUUUGUGCAGGCUGAUGGGGAAUUCUGGAGCCAGGGUCCCCCAUCGGGGGCAUCCCACAUCCUGCCGGGAUGGGCCUACCUUUAUUUCCCUUCCUCGCUGGGUCAUUGGUGGGAGCACCUGAGGGGCUCAGGGUGGGUUCAGAGCACAGCAGCGGGGCUGUCAAUCAGUCACUCAUGUGCCCCACAGCAGGAGACCCCAGGGGAUGACGGUCAAGGCUGUCAUGGUGCUGAAUCUGCUAGUGGGUGCCCUGAUCUGUGAAGACACAGUUAAAAACAGCCGGCACGGUAAAUCAGACAGAGAAAGACAAAUAUCAUAGGGUGCUGCUUGUAUGUGGACUCUAAAAAAAGGGUACAAAUGAACUUAUCUACAAAACAGAAACAGAGUCACAGAUGUAGAAAACAAACUUAUGGUUACCAGGAGGUAAGGGGAGGGGAGGGAUAAAUUGGGAGAUUGGGACUGACAUAUACACACUACUAUAUAUAAAAUAGAUAACUAAUAAGGGCCUACUGUAUAGCACAGGGAACUCUACUCAAUACUCUGUUAUGGCCUAUAUGGGAAAAGAAUCUAAAAAAGAGUGGAUAUAUGUAUAUGUAUAACUGAUUGACUUUGCUGUACCCCCGAAACUAACACGACAUUGUAAAUCAACUACACUGCAAUAAAACAAACAAACAAACA